rnacentral:rRNA from 1 species
UACGGGAGGCAGCAGUGGGGAAUAUUGCACAAUGGGCGCAAGCCUGAUGCAGCCAUGCCGCGUGUAUGAAAAAGGCCUUCGGGUUGUAAAGUACUUUCAGUCGUGAGGAAGGUGUUAAGGUUAAUAACCUUAGCAAUUGACGUUAGCGACAGAAGAAGCACCGGCUAACUCCGUGCCAGCAGCCGCGGUAAUACGGAGGGUGCGAGCGUUAAUCGGAAUUACUGGGCUAAAGGGCACGCAGGCGGUUAAUUAAGUUGGAUGUGAAAUCCCCGGGCUUAACCUGGGAAUGGCAUUCAAGACUGGUUAGCUAGAGUCUUGUAGAGGGGGUAGAAUUCCAUGUGUAGCGGUGAAAUGCGUAGAGAUGUGGAGGAAUACCGGUGGCGAAGGCGGCCCCUGGACAAAGACUGACGCUCAUGUGCGAAAGCGUGGGGAGCAAACAGGGAUUAGAUACC